rnacentral:rRNA from 1 species
GACGAACGCUGGCGGCGUGCUUAACACAUGCAAGUCGAACGGAAAGAGAUGAAAGAGCUUGCUCUUUUAUUAAUUUCAGUGGCAAACGGGUGAGUAACACGUAAACAACCUGCCUUAAGGAUGGGGAUAACAGACGGAAACGACUGCUAAUACCGAAUACGUUCUAAGCAUCGCAUGGUGCAUAGAAGAAAGGGUGGCCUCUACAAGAAAGCUAUCGCCUUAAGAGGGGUUUGCGACUGAUUAGGUAGUUGGUGAGGUAACGGCUCACCAAGCCGACGAUCAGUAGCCGGUCUGAGAGGAUGAACGGCCACACUGGAACUGAGACACGGUCCAGACUCCUACGGGAGGCAGCAGUGGGGAAUCUUCCGCAAUGGACGAAAGUCUGACGGAGCAACGCCGCGUGAACGAAGAAGGUCUUCGGAUUGUAAAGUUCUGUGAUUCGGGACGAAAGGGUUUGUGGUGAAUAAUCAUAGACAUUGACGGUACCGAAAAAGCAAGCCACGGCUAACUACGUGCCAGCAGCCGCGGUAAUACGUAGGUGGCAAGCGUUGUCCGGAAUUAUUGGGCGUAAAGCGCGCGCAGGCGGUUUCUUAAGUCCAUCUUAAAAGCGUGGGGCUCAACCCCAUGAGGGGAUGGAAACUGGGAAGCUGGAGUAUCGGAGAGGAAAGUGGAAUUCCUAGUGUAGCGGUGAAAUGCGUAGAGAUUAGGAAGAACACCGGUGGCGAAGGCGACU